CUCGACGUCGCCGUGUCCCGCGGUGUCCUCGUCCUCUUCCUCGGUGAGUCUCGUGUCGAAGCCUCUGGUGAGAGUUCAGCUCGACUCUGAUGUCGUGGAGGAGUUGAGUGUUCAGCCCCGGGUUCCUCCCACUCCACACUCCUCCCGUUCAGCCGUCUUCGCUCCCGGAGCGUUGACGCGCAACACGAGACACGAGAAGUUCACGUUGUUACUUCGUGAAAACGUAUUAUUAUGAUCAUCGCAUUAACAACUACGACACGAACCGCCACGUUUCAACCCGAGAACACGUUGUGCCAAAGGGUUUUGAUUCAAGUUGUCUACUUCCUGCUCGGGUCGAGGCGGCACCGCGCGCCCUCGUUGCGCGCAGUGGAUGAUGCGCGGUGGAGCGAUGAAAUGGAUCAAAUCGUAUCGAUGAACAAACGGGAUUAGUCCGUGUGAGUUGUUUCAAAGAAGCUGGAGACUUGGUCACAAGAAUUUUAUUUAAAAAUGAAGAAGAGAAGGAAGAGACGGAGCCGGCAGCUCGUCUCCGGCCGGCACCUGUUCAUGUCCCCGUCCCGACCGAGACGUUCAUGUUGGGAAGAGUAUUCGUGGGUGAGUCUCGUGUCGAAGCCUCUGGUGAGAGUUCAGCUCGACUCUGAUGUCGACUCUUGACGCGCAGUGGAUGAUGUCGCCGCGAUGAAACGGAUCAAAUCAUAUCGAUGAACAAACGGGAGUAGUUGGUGAGACCGAGGCCUAUUCCGGAGGGGUCCGGAAUAGGGUUGAUGUCGGGUGGACGUCCGUCGUCUCCCUCCUCACUGUGGUUGACAACUUGCAGAAGUGCAUGUUCGGUUUGGACGUCGUCGUGUGUCUCUGCUGAUGUCCAGGUCGGGUCUCACUCAGCAGCCUCGUUCUAAACCUUUGUGGCACGAGCGGAGCCGGAAGACGCAGCUACUGGACCGUCUCCGUCCCUACACCCCGUCCCGGAGUCUGCGGUCGACGGACAAGGGUUGGCUCUCCGUCCCCAACACCGGACCGCGGACUCCUGGGUGUAGAGGCUUCGGCGUCGCAGCCCCCGGCCUCUGGAACUCCAUCCCUUCACAGAUCUGCAACGCUCCCUCUUUGGACAUUUUUUUAAAACUAUUUUUAUCAAUAUAGUUUAUUGAAACGACCCCAAUUUGACAAUAAAAAAAAGUUCCACGUCGGAGACUGACUGAUGCGUGCCACAAUGAGGAUAUGUCCACUGUUUCCAUUGAACAGGUUUUAUUUACAUAUACAGUUCCGUGGGUUUUAAACAACAAAAGAAAUCACAUCAUCUUUACAGUUGUUAAUAACUUUACUGAGCGUUUGACAUUAUGUUACAUACAUGAAAAAACAAAAUCCAUAUCCACACAACAUUCACGUGACCACGGUCGACCAACUGUCCCGUCAGUCUCCAGCAGCUCCUGAUUAUAAGAACUCAACGUCCAAUUGAGGCACACCAAACACAAACGGCUCUUACAAUUAUUAUUAUCAUAUGAAACAAGAAGCAUGAACCUUUCACCCCUGAGUGUGCAGGCUGUACCUGUGGCUACAGUGAAAUAAACGACUGCGAUGAUCACACUGUGACAAGUUUUGAUUCGUGUCCUCCCUGGUUCUCGACCCUGCUGGUUUUGUUGAACCUCUGUCAGCAUUAGAAUAUAUAUAUGUAUAUAUGUAUAUAGCAUUUUUUUAAAAAUCUUUUUUGGCAUCUUUUUACUAUUUCUUUGUAAUAACUCUACUGGUGUAACGAGUACAUUUCUUCCGGCGUCUUAUUAAUAAAGUUCUAUUCUCUCCUCUAAAAACCUAAAAGUCCCUAUUAUUGUAAACUCCGUUCUUCCAAUAAAAGAAAAAGAAGUUCCACAA